AUGAACGCUAGCUACAGGCUUAACACAUGCAAGUCGAGGGGCAGCAUCAUCAAAGCUUGCUUUGAUGGAUGGCGACCGGCGCACGGGUGAGUAACACGUAUCCAACCUGCCGACAACACUGGGAUAGCCUUUCGAAAGAAAGAUUAAUACCGGAUGGCAUAAUUAUUCCGCAUGGGAUAAUUAUUAAAGAAUUUCGGUUGUCGAUGGGGAUGCGUUCCAUUAGGCAGUUGGCGGGGUAACGGCCCACCAAACCUACGAUGGAUAGGGGUUCUGAGAGGAAGGUCCCCCACAUUGGAACUGAGACACGGUCCAAACUCCUACGGGAGGCAGCAGUGAGGAAUAUUGGUCAAUGGACGAGAGUCUGAACCAGCCAAGUAGCGUGAAGGAUGACUGCCCUAUGGGUUGUAAACUUCUUUUAUACGGGAAUAAAGUGAGCCACGUGUGGCUUUUUGUAUGUACCGUAUGAAUAAGGAUCGGCUAACUCCGUGCCAGCAGCCGCGGUAAUACGGAGGAUUCGAGCGUUAUCCGGAUUUAUUGGGUUUAAAGGGAGCGUAGGCGGGUUGUUAAGUCAGUUGUGAAAGUUUGCGGCUCAACCGUAAAAUUGCAGUUGAUACUGGCGACCUUGAGUGCAACAGAGGUAGGCGGAAUUCGUGGUGUAGCGGUGAAAUGCUUAGAUAUCACGAAGAACUCCGAUUGCGAAGGCAGCUUACUGGAUUGUAACUGACGCUGAUGCUCGAAAGUGUGGGUAUCAAACAGGAUUAGAUACCCUGGUAGUCCACACAGUAAACGAUGAAUACUCGCUGUUGGCGAUAUACAGUCAGCGGCCAAGCGAAAGCAUUAAGUAUUCCACCUGGGGAGUACGCCGGCAACGGUGAAACUCAAAGGAAUUGACGGGGGCCCGCACAAGCGGAGGAACAUGUGGUUUAAUUCGAUGAUACGCGAGGAACCUUACCCGGGCUUAAAUUGCAACUGACGGAACCGGAAACGGUUCUUUCUUCGGACAGUUGUGAAGGUGCUGCAUGGUUGUCGUCAGCUCGUGCCGUGAGGUGUCGGCUUAAGUGCCAUAACGAGCGCAACCCUUACGGGUAGUUACCAUCAGGUUAUGCUGGGGACUCUACCCGGACUGCCGUCGUAAGAUGUGAGGAAGGUGGGGAUGACGUCAAAUCAGCACGGCCCUUACGUCCGGGGCUACACACGUGUUACAAUGGGGGGUACAGAAGGCAGCUACACGGCGACGUGGUGCUAAUCCCAAAAGCCUCUCUCAGUUCGGAUUGGAGUCUGCAACCCGACUCCAUGAAGCUGGAUUCGCUAGUAAUCGCGCAUCAGCCACGGCGCGGUGAAUACGUUCCCGGGCCUUGUACACACCGCCCGUCAAGCCAUGAAAGCCGGGGGUACCUGAAGUACGUAACCGCGAGGAGCGUCCUAGGGUAGAACUGGUGAUUGGGGCU
rnacentral:rRNA from 1 species